UCCUGCUGGGCUGAGCUGCGAUGCUGGAGAUUUCAAGAAGAUGCUCCACGGCAAUUGAGCGACCUUCUCAUUGCAAGGCAAUGCUGGGGAAAGCAUCCUCCCGAGCCGUGAAGCAAGCUAUGAUCUCAUAUCCACUGAUAGACAGAUCGAUAGGCAUAGUGCUUUAGAAGCCUUCUUGGUUUGGCCUCACAUCAGAAGAAAUUGUACUGAGUGGAUGUGAAAAGGCCCAGGACAAUUGCACAGCUCACCCUGUAAAGAUGAAAGCAGCCUGCUCUUUCUGGUACAUCCCUGCUUUGAUCUACAUAAUGUGGAAAACUGAAACCUUAUGCCCAGCGUAAUGCUGCAGGCUUCUGGCAUGUUGCACGUCUUUGGGACACAGAGAGAAAAAGGAGAGAAGUUCCCUCUUUGAGACAUCAAUUCCUUUUUGACCGCUACGCCCUUUUUGAUCUCUGCUAAGUCUCUUCCUGUUAACAUACUAAAAAGGAAGAAAAGAAAAAAGACAGAUUGCAUACACUUAAGUUUUCAGAGGUGAAAGCACCAAAUGCCUGGUAGAAAAUGAGGAUGAACAGACUGGGAAGCAUGCAAAUACAGCAUAAUGGGUAUAUAGCACGGACUGAACACGAGAUGCUGGAGCCAUAGGGAAAAAGCAAUCAGCCAGCCAAAAAGAAUGAGAAAAGAUCAUAACCUUUCAAAUGGUUCCAAAUUGUUAUACUGGACGUACCUGAGGGCUUGAUUGAUCGUACAUGUCACGUGAACUCAACGAACCUUUCAUGUCAUGUUUGGAAUGACCAGCUUCGGGCCCAUCUACCACUUCAGAGUUUCUCGUUCUUACAUCUGGCCCGUGGCAUUCCUAACCCCCGUCAGGCUGCGCUUCGCAAAGCAUCUGGUAGUAGAAUACUCACUUACUGCUUUUGAAUGCGAUCGUGACAUUUCCUCUUCUUAGUGAUGUGGGUAAAUGCUGGGUCGGCCAUUGUGGUCACACCACAAACCAAAAUUAAUUUCCUACUCAGCAAGAAGACUGCUUAAAUCAUACAAUGACAAACAUCAAAACACAACUAAGUUGUCAUCGUCUCAAGAUGCACUUAAACCGACCCUCACAAUCAUCUUUGCAGACGUGAAAAAUUUCAACCUGUGACAGCCAGGAUGCAAACUGGGAUUAGCUACAUCUUUCCAUGCCAAAAAAAUCUGCCUAACACAUAUCAGUACAAUAACUACUGAUUUGGCAGUAUCCAGAAUCUACCUAGAGGAGCCUGUUCUGAAACUGAUGAUCUGUCCUUCGCGCAGCCGCAUCUUGUCCACGCGGUAUGCACGCUGCUGUUGCCAGACCGCCUGCCCUGAGGGUAUGAUGGUGGGUUUGAUAGCUGCUCUGCUAACACAAUAUUACAAGUAAAGGUAUAACUCACAGGAUGGAUAAAAUGAGCAACGUUUUCCAGCAAAGAGUGCCCACGAAUAAAGGUAUAAAACUGUCUUUACAGGAGGACUGACUUAACAGUUAACCAGGGUGUCAUAGCCCGCUUUAAUUAAGUUUGCUCUGGGGUACGUACAUUCUGCCUGUUGUCAUCAUUGCAAGCAACCUAUCUACAUAAACAACACAGCCAAAGAACUGAAUAUGAGGUGAGUGAGUUCUAACAAACCGCAGUGUGGGCAGAUUAUACCUGAAAUAUAUCUGCCACACACCAGGUUAUUUUGAAAGCCCUCUCCCUCCUCUAGCCCAACCGGCGCUCACUGCUGAGACAGUGAAGAACUCAGUAUUUCACCAGACUAAAACAUUCAAACCUUGUC